CUAUGAGUCUCUAACAUGAAUAGCUGCAAAAUUGUAAUGUUUAUAUAUUUGCUAACUGUCCACCCAUCAAACUUGACAGCUCUCUCAUAACAAAAGGCAGUAUUACCUUAGAGGGAAAUCUAAAGGUACUAGUGCUGUUCAGUGGGACACCUCACUCCCUCCCAGAUUAGAGCAGUGGAAUUAGAACCUGAUUGGCUUGAAGGAAAAGAGAACUGUUCUUGUCUGAGGUGGUUACCUCAACAAUGUAUUUCUCUUCAUAGAGGGUUUGCAAGACAUACCUAAAACACAGAGAUGGUGAUAAUGACAAUGAUCACUUAUAUUGUAUCACAUUUCAAUGUACUGCAAAAUUACUUACAGUCUGUCUUGUAUCAUUACAAUAUAUACACAUAAAAUAGGCAUACUGGUUUAUAUGUAUGUAUGUAUCUAUGAGACCAAGGAGAGAGAGGAUCUUUUCUUUGCUGAUGAAAUAGAAGCCACACAGAACUGGAACACAGUGAAGGACAGCAUAUAGUCUUAAUGCACAAGAACUCACGCAGGAACUGGAUGAAGCCUAUCAAAUUUUAAUAGCAUGUGACAUCUGGGUAAGUAGAACGCCACUUAUAAAAUAUUAAUUUGAUGGAUCUUUGCAUCUCUCUGGGUUCUUGCAUUUCCAGAAGUUAUUUCAGCCUUGAUUUAGACCUCACCAGAGGAACAUAGCCCUUACCAGCACAAUUUCUAUUGAUAGCAUGAUUUCUCAGAAGAGCAUUGGCUCAGAGCAAAGCAUCUGGACUCUCCAGGACAUCUGUGGAUAUGCUGGAGGUCUCACAUCUCUAUUCCAAUCAUAUCUCACCCCAAAGAACUUGUGAUCAUCAAUCUACAGCUGAAAACUGAAGCAGGAAGAUGUAUAGCAGGAUAUCAAAAGUAGCAGUGAACUUCCUUGUAUUAAUUACACACAAAGAUAGCCUAGCAAAUCUUACCUGCACUCUGACAGAAAGAACAUCACCUCCUCCACAGCUCUUUGAGAGCAAAGUGGAUGGCUAAGAAUGUAAUUAUGAUAUAACAGAGUCAACUGACACGGUUUUACUCAUUAUUCUUAUUCAGACCUGAAGCUUAAGACCUUAAAAUACAACCUCCUGGCUGUCUCCUCAUGAGUUCUACCCAUUUCUUCUACAAAGAGAUUAGUCUGGCCACAAACUUUGAAUAAGAACAGAAAUCUGGAACUAAUCUUCAUCCCACAAAUUGUAGGCAUUUCUUUCAAAGGUGUGUUUCAUUAUGUUACAUUGUUAGGAAGCAAAAUGCAUAUUCAAAUCCUAAAUCCAGAAUCCAUGUCCACAGACAUGAGAAGUGCUGACACAGGCCCACAGGUUAAAUCCUCACAGUGAACCAUUCCACAGAGAAGGAAAUUUGCAUAGCACAAAAGCAGUCUAAAGGCACCACCGUACAUGCAGAGACAUGGAGCACCUUCUAAAAGGCAGGAAACAUGGCUUGUGGCAAGAGUAAUUUUAGAAGUAAGACAAGAAGCCUGAGUAAGCAGAUGUUGUCUGCAAGGUCAGAAAGGUAAGUGCCGGUUUCACAACGCUGCAGUUUAUGUAGUGACACAGAACUUAUUCCAGACCCUCUGGGGAAUCAGCACCACCUGUGUUGAUUUCUCUGUUGAUCAGAUUAAACCAUGACCUACAAUCUCCUCCCUUCAAGCCAAUCCCAGACUCCUGCACAUGGAGAUCCAUGUUGUCUCCAUCUGGCACUAAGGUUCUGAGGGAACAGUCCAAAGGAAAUCAAAGUCAUUUCUUAGCCCUUUUUUUUUUUCCUUCCUGGGAAAAGAAUUUAAGCCUCCCACCAUUUAGAAACGCUGGCUUUUCACUUACUUUUUCCCUAUUUGCUAUCUUUUUCAGAACACUUGCAUUCAACGGGAAAUACACCAAACAAUUUUAUCUAUUACUUCAUUUAUUUUGACCUUUUCUAGUGCCAGAAAUGUAUUCAGCACGUUGUGUACGAGUGAAUAACAUAGUUCCACAGGCCAAACAUACACAAAAUGUGAGGAAUAAUGGCUGCAGAAAGGAGCUAGCAAUAAAAAAAUUAAAUAAUUAAUAAUAAGAGUUAAUAGUUAUAUAUGUAUGAAGUAUUUUACAUGAGGGAGGAGAGGAAGAGAGAGAAGGAGAGGGAGAAGGAAAAGUGAGAAAAGAAGGAAAAGGGGGCCCAUUCAGUACAUUCAUCGAUUUCACGAGCUCACACCUGUUUCUGCAGGAGAUACACUAAGCUGGCCAGCUGGCAAUGUGUGGACAAGGGAGCAGAAGUGAUCCUACAUCACACAAACACGCAGAAUUUCAUGGCAGAUGCUGGUCUAGGUGCGGUGGCAAGUUUAGCCAGUUUCCUUCAUGACCAUACACCAAAGAGCAAAGAUUUAUUUGAAAAGUUUAAAAGGAUUGAGCUUUCUGCAAUUCGCACUGCCUGGUGCCAGUCACGCUCUGAUCUCAGAGCAUACUGUUACAAUCCUCUCUUCUCAAAGCCCAAGACUCUCAUUUAGACAGAGGCUGUGCCAGCCCUAACCAGUAAGAGUACAUCCCUCUCAGAAAUCAUUACAGCUGUAAAGCACACAGGUAGUCUUCUUAGUUUUACAGGAGCCAUCUUACUUUUCUUUGGUCAGUCUUUAAAAAAAGCUUUUUUUUUUAAAACAAGCCUUAAUUUUAAGUUUUGCUAAAUGCCAAUGCACUUGAUGAACUUAACAACUUUGUGGUCAUAUACCUACAGAGGAGGGAAUGAGGGAGAGAGAGAAAGAGAGAACAAGCUUUUACAACAACAGCUGCAAAAAUUCUUACUCCUUUUAGGUUUCAUUUUAAUUUACUAGACAUCAAUGUGACCAUAUCCCUUGACGGUUGUUCUGAGGUGCUCUGAAACCCAGUGCUUUUUGGUCUCUUUGAUGUACCAAGUUUCCUGUGCAGUGCAACGCACAGUUACCUCUACUCUGGACUUCCCAGUACAGGGGCUGUGGGAAUGGCAGAUCUGGGCCUUUGCUUUGGACCAAUUAAUCACCAAGGAAUCAGCACAGUAUUAUAGGUAUCAUCAGAUCCCUAUCAGCCUAAACAGAAAUGCUUUGAGAGAGUAAAUGGGUGGCAGGACCAAAGGGAGCUUAUGUCAUUGAAUUCACACUGUAAUCUACUUGUAGAUUGUUUAGGCCUCCCAUCUCUCAUCCUCUUCUUCUCUUCCUGUUUCUAGGAAAGAAACUAGCCUCCACCCUGCUAAUGAUUCCUUAGGGGAAGCAGCGUCAAGAGGCAACACUUGCUGCAGCAGAGAAAAGCCACGGCUGCUGCUGCUGUCGUGGCGCACAGCAUCAGACUAAGAGCAUCUGCAGCCUACCGACAUCAACUCAUCUAAGUGGAAAACUCAGCCAGGAGCUGCAAGGAUUACUGAGGCCUCAAAGCCAGCCGUUAGUAUUAUACCACCAUAAUCAACAGACUCGUGGACUGAAUUUCCGGCCUCCUCUGCUCUACAGGAAUGUUGUAAAACCACUCAACCCCCUACCUGGAGAGAAACAAAAUUAUCUACCCUCUCAUAAAAUUUUCUGCCAAUUAAAGAAGAAAGGAAAAUCUUUGGUGGAAGGCAGCAAGCUACAGGAAGAAGAGCUGGGACGUAGAAGUCGAUGAAGUUCUGCCUGAUUCUACUUUCAGUUGAGUCAAUGGCAAGUUGCCCACCGCAGGCCCUGUCAUUGCUGCCUGAAGUCAGACUCACAGAUAAGCAUCCAAAUUCCACGGACUUUGAAAGGGAUUUUGGUAUCUAAGACAAUUAACUGUCUUUGGAAAUCCUAGACACAUAAGAGAAUGCAUUCACCAAGCUUCCCUGUGCAAGCAUCAAAUACUUCUUCAUUUCACAGAGAGAGAGUGUACCAAGAAACAGCUUAAAUUAUUUGCACAAAGCUUCACAAGAAGCCAAAACUAGAGAAGAAAACUGUCUCUAACAUAUUCUGGAUAAUACUGUAUUUGAAUUCUGGCAUUUCUAUUUUGCCUCUUAGCCAAAGCAAGGAACUGCACUGACACAGUUUAAUCAGAAGAAAAGAGUAUAUUCCAGUUAGCAUUUUCAAUGCCAGGUAGGCUGUCUGUUCCUCAGAUGGGUUAUGGGUCUAUGAAAAGGUUUUAGACAAUUCUCAUUUUAAUCAAACUGGUUGAAAUCUAGUGCAUUAUCAGACUUAAACUCCCGUAGGCAGCAGCACUGGUUUUCCAGAAAAUGGGAAGAAGGAAUCACAACACCAGUUUUACAAAAGCCACUAUCUACAGUUCUGCACAUUUCCUAGUCUUCUGUUUCUCUUAUCUGGCAUGACAAAAAGGAAAAUAGAAGAGAAAGGAAAUCACUGGUAGAGAGACCAAUGGAAAAGAGCUGCUACACAGAAGAAAAUAGUUGAAAUAGUUAGAAAUACCCAUACAGGCAAAAGAUAAGAAAACUGAUCAAAUUCCAUAUAAAACAGCUUAGGAAAACAAAAUCUUCACAGCAGUAGUGGUGCAAUUAGGGUUAAGGCCCAAAUCUGUUAUACUUGAAAUUCUUACCACAUUAAAUAGUCAUUAUCUGUACAGUUAACCCAUAAAACCAGACAUUCUGGGAUUAUGAGUAAACAUUUGUUAAGUUAGACUUCAAAGCUAUGCCCUUGAAAAUUCUGAGAAAGCACCUAUAAACCUCAUUCUCUCAUUUUUCAAAGGGAAGCCCAAAAUUAGCAGCACAUCUAAGCAUGACCAUUGGGAGUGGUGAACAGUCAUGAAAAACACCAGUUAUGUAAGACACAAAAAAUGAUGAACCACACAUGGAAAGUAAAAUGGACCCAUCCUUCCCCCACACUAUCACAUCCCCAUUACAUGUUUGUUUUCAGCUGUGUCAGAAAAAUACCAACACUUCUGAAGCUCUUCAAUUUUCUAAUUUAUUAUGGCUGUACAACUGCACCAAUGAAAAAGACGGGCAGCCUCUGGGGAGACAUCUUUCUCAAUCGCUCACUCUCUCGAACUGACGUUCUCUUUCACUGUCCAAGGACUCUGAUGAGAAUACAUCUACCACAUCCCCUGGCCAUCCAAAUUUCCACCAGAGUUUACAGAAACACACAAAAUGUAAGAUCGUAUCCCUAGGAAUUGUAGAAGAAAAUCAAAUUGCAUGCUUGAUAAAUCACAUGCAAACCACAUGCUUGAUCUUUAGUAAAAGUUAAAAUAGAAAAUGGCAACAACGUUAUACUUUAAUAUCCUCAUUGCAUUAUUAGAUAUUUAGAAAUUUAGUCUAAGCCAAAGGCCUCAGUACAACGAAACUCAUACAAGAACACUCUUAUAGGAGAUAAUUUUAGCAAAAUAAAGGCUGAAUUCUAGGCUACCAGAUUUUCUAACUAUCAUUGGUUUUUUCUCACCAAAUUGCAAGGGUGACAGGGCAGGAGUUUUCUCUAAUUAUGUGUUUGUGUCAUCUGUCAUGUACGUACUCUACUGUAAUACAAAGAAGCAAACAAUAAUAGCAAACAGAAAUAGUAAUAGCAAUAAAUAAACAUUUAACUUUAAUGAGAGGCUUAAGAAGAAAGAG